AUGGGACCUGUGAGUCAACCUUGGUUCAGCACAAGAAAAGACAGGAACUUGUAUUCUGUGGUUUAUCCUCAUUGGCAGGAACCAUCUGACCAGGCAAGGAGCCACAUUUUGGGGCCUGCUUUUAGCUCUUGCUCCUGGGCUCAUGUCUUCAGUCGGACCCUCAAGCCAAGAUUCCACCAGGGCAUGAAUAUUUCCAGGCACAACUCUUCCCCAGGCAAAGAUCUGAAUGGGACCUGCUGUCUAUGGGGAAGGUUGAGUCAGCCUUGGUCCAGCACAAGGAAAAGACAGGAACUUGUGUCCUGUGGCGUAUCCUCAUUGGCAAGAAGCAUGUGA
rnacentral:lncRNA from 1 species